GACGAACGCUGGCGGCGUGCUUAACACAUGCAAGUCGAACGGUAAGGCCCUUCGGGGUACACGAGUGGCGAACGGGUGAAUAACACGUGGGUGAUCUGCCCUGCACUUCGGGAUAAGCCUGGGAAACUGGGUCUAAUACCGGAUAGGACCACUGCCUGCAUGGGUGGUGGUGGAAAGCUUUUGCGGUGUGGGGUGGGCCCGCGGCCUAUCAGCUUGUUGGUGGGGUGAUGGCCUACCAAGGCGACGACGGGUAGCCGGCCUGAGAGGGUGACCGGCCACACUGGGACUGAGAUACGGCCCAGACUCCUACGGGAGGCAGCAGUGGGGAAUAUUGCACAAUGGGCGCAAGCCUGACGCAGCGACGCCGCGUGAGGGAUGACGGCCUUCGGGUUGCAAACCUCUUUCAGCACCGACGAAGCGCAAGUGACGGUAGGUGCAGAAGAAGGACCGGCCAACUACGUGCCAGCAGCCGCCGUAA
rnacentral:rRNA from 1 species